GAGAAACUGAGUCACACACACCCCGGCCCUGCCGGUGCCCCUCACUCCUGACCUGCAGCCCCCCACAGCCCUGCCGGUGCCGAUGUGACGAAGUGGGACUCUUCUUAAUGUUUCCUCUGAAUAGUGUGGGGGUGCCUCAGUUUCCCCUAGGCAGUUCUUAAGUCUCCAGGGGGUGGUGUAAGGGUGUAUGAUCGUUGCAGAGCCCUAGAGGGCAGGUGUGUGCAGGGGGCUGGACACAGAGAAUGGCCGACACCCUGUUUCCUGGCCACUGAUGGCCUGGGCCCUUCCCCCCCUGCAAGGUGAGAGCUAAAGGGCUGGAGAACAAAGGAAUCCGGUGCCCUCCUGGCCCAGGAAAGGGACAAAGCCCAGAGGAGGGGGUUGGGGGGCUGGAGGGAGUUUCAGUUUGGGGCUGGCUGGGACAUGGAGUGAAGUGCAGACGUGGUUGUCUGGCUCACUGCCCCCCAAAAUGGACCCAGCUGAGGGGUCCUGUUCUCUGCACCUACAAGCUCUGUGUCAGACCAUGUUCCUGUCGUCUAAUAAACCUUCUGUUUUACUGG